GGAUGGCUUUGUCCAGAUUCAACUCCUGCUCCUUGUAGGUUGGUUGUUUCUGGUUCAGCCUGUGAACAGCUCCAGUUUGUAGCUUCAGGUCUUGCUCCAGUUCAGUUUUGGCUGCAGCUUGUUUCCAUCUCAUCUUCAGUUCCAGUUUGUCUGUGGCCCCAGCUUGUUUUCAUCUCCAGCUAUGACAACUUGUGCUUGUUAAAACCACCUUGGUUUUUAGCAAGGACAUAAAUCAAUCACUGUACACAUGUUGACUGAUUACUUUGUGUUUAUUUUUCAAUGACUAUUCUGGUGUUUGUUACAC